rnacentral:rRNA from 1 species
UACGUAGGCAGCAAGCGUUGUUCGGAGUUACUGGGCGUAAAGGGUGUGUAGGCGGUUCUUUAAGUUUGGUGUGAAAUCCCUCGGCUUAACCGGGGAACUGCGUCUGAUACUGGAUGGCUUGAGUUUGGGAGAGGGACGCGGAAUUCCAGGUGUAGCGGUGAAAUGCGUAGAUAUCUGGAGGAACACCGGUGGCGAAGGCGGCGUCCUGGACCAACACUGACACUGAUGAGCGAAAGCCAGGGGAGCAAACGGG